rnacentral:rRNA from 1 species
CAUUUCGAAAGGAAUGCUAAUACCGCAUACGUCCUACGGGAGAAAGCAGGGGAUCUUCGGACCUUGCGCUAAUAGAUGAGCCUAAGUCGGAUUAGCUAGUUGGUGGGGUAAAGGCCUACCAAGGCGACGAUCUGUAGCGGGUCUGAGAGGAUGAUCCGCCACACUGGGACUGAGACACGGCCCAGACUCCUACGGGAGGCAGCAGUGGGGAAUAUUGGACAAUGGGCGCAAGCCUGAUCCAGCCAUGCCGCGUGUGUGAAGAAGGCCUUAUGGUUGUAAAGCACUUUAAGCGAGGAGGAGGCUACUUUAGUUAAUACCUAGAGAUAGUGGACGUUACUCGCAGAAUAAGCACCGGCUAACUCUGUGCCAGCAGCCGCGGGAAAUACGAA